rnacentral:lncRNA from 1 species
CAAGAUGAAUAUGGCCUUCCAAGAAGACAUGCUGACAAGAAAAGACUCAGAGUGCCCAGGAGCUUCCCCUUCCUACCAACCCUGCAGCCUGGAACCCUAGCCAUACCUCUCCCUGACUGUGGACAGUACAGCCUUUGAGCUGAGCCAAGCUGCUCCCCUGGCGAUUUCCAUAAGAGUACCACUUAUCAGCACCUUGGACAGCAUACAAAUGAUUCUGCAUCUCCAGGAAGAACUGGUCCUUCAGCCAAGGGCAGCACUGAG